GGAGCCGACACAAAGCGUUGGCAUGACGGCAGCAACGUAUGAGGUUGUCGAAGAAGAGGAUGCCGAGACGUUGCGUGAGUGGGAGAUGAAGCAACGUGGGCGGAUGGAACGUGCAGAUGCGGCGGCUGCAAGGCGAAGAAAGAAGCGGGAAAAGAAGAAGGCGAAGAAAGGAGGCUCCG
rnacentral:ribozyme from 14 species